AUAAAGGGAGAGUUUGUGCAGCCUAAAGGAUAACUUUGUAAUUCCAUAAACCAUUGAACAUGAAUGAUAAUUUCUCUAUGGGCAAUUUAGUAAAUCUCAAUAUAAUUAGUUAGGGAUUCAAUCUUGGUCAUCCUUUCCUUUCAAUUUUAGCCGUUUAUUUCUUUUCCUUUUUGCCUGUGUUUGCCGUUUUCGUUUCCACCUCUUGAAGGCUCCAUACGUUUUCGUUCUUCAAUCUUCCACCUCUUCGAAAGUCUUCCGUUUUCGUUUCUCCCCUGACUCUGCCGCUUCAUUCUCUGCAGCCCCAUUCCAGCUAGAUAAGAUCCUCAAUCCGGUAAGAACUAUUUCAGCCAUCAUAUCUCGCUUCCACCUCCCACUGAAUCUGCCGCCAAGCCAACCUUCCACCUCAAUAAAACCCAAAUCAACACAACCUCCUUCAACACCCAAAGUUGCUGCACCAUUCCUUCUUCCUCAGCCGAGCCAUCGCUGCCACCGCUUCCUCUUUCCCCAGCCAAACCACCUUCCCUUUCUCCUCCCUUCACUAACCUUCGACAUUGGUUAGUGUUAAACUGUGGACUCCAUCCAUCAUUACCUUCUAUGUUUUCUUCCACACUUAUCUUAUUGACUGUCUCAGUGACCUAAUAUUUCUCCAUUCCAGUCGAAGAUUUUAAUUGUUACUUUAGGACAAUGGGAAACAAAUUUGUUUAUGUGUAGUUCCUUUCUCUCGCUUUCCACCAUCUGAUAAUUUUCCAGGCCUGUUUGUCGUUUUCUUUCUUUUAAUUUACCUUCCACCUUUUAAGUUUCCCUGAUUGAGAUUGGGUUAUUUUUUUAAUUUUCUAUUUCCGCCGGUACUUCUCGAUUAGGCGCAUCUGGAAGUUGAACAAGAGAUUGGUUGCAAUUCGUUUUUACAGCAAUUGGUUGUCGUGGUUUUGUUGCUUCAGGUUAUCAUCUCCCCUUGAUUCCUUCUGGGUACAAAAAAGAGAUAUUUCACCUAGAAAAGUAAUGAGAGAGAUGAAGUUGAACAAUAAGAGAUUGGCGCAGGUUGCUGUUUUAUUUUUGUUGCUUUGGCAUUUUAUUCAUUUGUUUCUUUUUGUUUAGUUUUGUGAUUCCCCACCAUUCAUUUGUACUUGGUGAACAUGUUUAAUUAGUCCAUUGUUUCUUCUUAUGGUAUUAUGUUCGUUUUAUAAAGAUAGUAAUUAGUAAUUACUAAUCUGUUUUACCCUCAUAGUAUGUGAUUUUAUAAGAUUAUUAUGUGACUUUAUGAGGUUUAAGAG